AGGUGUAGGGGCUGGAUGCAGAGUGAGCAGGUGCCAUGAGGACAGCAGCCUGCCAGCCUGAGUGCCUCAGCCAUGGGCAAGGCCAUGUCUCUCUUUCCUGAAACUUGUUCCUGUGGCGUCUUUCAGUUUAUAGAGGUAGAGAGUACAGUCAAGCGGACCCGCAGGUGCCAGUCACCUGCUUCAACAGUGAAGCUUUUGCUAACCUUGUUUUAUAUCUCACAUGCAUGUGUAUCCGAGUAACCUUUAAAAAUCUCGGACAUCGGGAAAUUUCACCUGUAAAUGCUCCAGUUUGUGUCUAACAAACUUUUAUUUUUAUAACACCAUGCUUUAUCUCACUUAAAAAUAUCUCACUUAAAAAUUAUAUAGCCAUUUCUUAACAUCCUGUAUUCGUUCUUAUCCAUGUGGCCAUUUCCCCAAUUUUCGAAACAAGUCUCUACAGAUGCGUGGCUCACAUCAGGAGCCCACGUGCCAUGGGGCUGCUGUGUCCCUGAAGCCCCCUUUCCUCCAUCCGUUUUGCUCCCAGGCCUUUGACUGGUCAGAGAAACUGAUGCCUUUGCCCACAGGAGGCCCCUCAGUCUAGACUUGGCUGGAUUUUUCCCCAAGUGCAACAGUCUCCCUUGUGGGAAGGCUUUUGAUAAUGAAUUCAGUUUCUUUGAUAAAAAAGCUAUUCUGUUUCUCUGUUUUCUUGUUUCUAUUUUCAUAUUUUCUUCUUCUUCUUCUUUUUUUU
rnacentral:lncRNA from 10 species